ACGGAGGGUGCAAGCGUUAUUCGGAAUUACUGGGCGUAAAGCGCGCGUAGGCGGUCUUGCAAGUCAGAUGUGAAAGCCUCGGGCUUAACUGGGGAACUGCCUUUGAUACUGCUGGACUUGAGUAUGGGAGAGGAAGGUGGAAUUCCCGGUGUAGAGGUGAAAUGCGUAGAGAUCGGGAGGAAUACCAGUGGCGAAGGCGACCAUCUGGACUGUAACUGACGCUGAGACGCGAAAGCGUGGGGAGCAAACAG
rnacentral:rRNA from 1 species